UACGGGAGGCAGCAGUGGGGAAUAUUGCACAAUGGGCGAAAGCCUGAUGCAGCUAUGCCGCGUGUAUGAAGAAGGCCUUAGGGUUGUAAAGUACUUUCAUCGGGGAGGAAAAAACAAAACUAAUAAUUUUAUUUCUUGACGUUACCCGAAAAAGAAGCACCGGCUAACUCCGUGCCAGCAGCCGCGGUAAUACGAAGGGUGCUAGCGUUAAUCAGAAUUACUGGGCGUAAAGAGCACGUAGGUGGUUUUUUUAAGUCAGAUGUGAAAUCCCUGGGCUUAACCUAGGAACUGCAUUUUGAAACUGAAAUACUAGAGUAUCGUAGAGGGAGGUAGAAUUCUAGGUGUAGCGGUGAAAUGCGUAGAUAUCUGGAGGAAUACCUGUGGCGAAAGCGGCCUCCUAAACGAAUACUGACACUGAGGUGCGAAAGCGUGGGGAGCGAAACAGGGAUUAGGAUACCCGU
rnacentral:rRNA from 1 species